CUUCACAGCCAUCUUGGGCUACUCUGACACUGAUGUGGGUGUCCUUGUCCUUCAGAUUCACCCACAGAUACCUCCUUCUGCAGCCCUGACAGGAACUGCUGUUUAUGGGAGAACAAAGAGCAGGGGAGGAGAAUGCUCUUGGGAUAACAACUGAAGGUCAAGGAGAGGUCUCUGAAGGAGCUUUGCAGCUACGUGCUCAUCAUAGCUAGCAAAAAAUAGGAAUAGAAUAAUGCCAACUCACAAUGAUUUAUUAUGUGGGUUGCACCAAAAGUAAUGCUCCCUAUUUAUUUCCAUGGAAACUACAACAGAUAAAAAGAGCACAAUAACACUGUUUGAAAGAGCAAAUUUUAACUACAGAACACUGUUUUUCAACAUACUCACCACCAUUAGCUGUGCUUUUUCACUAGUGGUGAAGAAGAGCCUGCAUGCUGCGCUCAUUAACAUCUACACCAGCAUAGGUGACCCACUGUCACUGUCAACACUGCUGAAACACACCACCCACUGCCUCACUGCACUCACAUCCACUGCUUGGUCUCCACCAACAUUCAGCAAAUGUUGAUAAAUGUCAGUGGGUACAAUUUUUUUCUGCAUGAAGGAAUUUGAUGACACAUUUUUGCUUCAUCUGCACUUCCACGUCAGACGCCAUUUUGUCAGACUGCCCCUUUAAUGCCAUCUGUCACAUGGCAGCAGCACGUAAUGGAAUGUUUGGCCUCUACUGCCUUACCACCAACAUCUGCCUCUGAUGUCAUGUGCCAACGUAAUAAAAUAGGAGGCAUCACUUUUGGAGCAACCCUCAUACAAAAUACUUGCACUUCAGGCUUCCUUUCCUUACCUAAAAGUAAUUUUACUUUUUUUUCUAUUUUAUUCUCCAAGUAUGUUGUCUCCAUGCAUCAUGAACACAAGCACUGCCUUUUAAGGAACAUGUUGGUG
rnacentral:lncRNA from 1 species